AUCCACAACAAGUUCUUUGUAGAACUUUAAAAAAAGCAUUUUGCAUUAAAAGAAUGCUUUCAUGUGAUAAUGCCGGGGAAGGUUUUCCGGUUUAUCCCGGAGGGCUUGUAGCUCAGUUGGUUAGAGCGCGCGCUUGAUAAGCGUGAGGUCGGAGGUUCAAGUCCUCCCAGGCCCACCAAUUAUCCAUCGAUAGAAAAGCGCUUAGGAAGCUUGAAAAGAGCUUUCUCGUAAAGUUUAAAAAAACUUGUUUAUCGCUUUUUGUAAGAUGUGGCGUUUGUCUGUUUUUAAAGCGGUCGAGACCAAAAGUGUUGCAAAGACAAGAGUCUUGGAGCAGGAAAGAACAUAAGAUCCAGGUGGUGUCACAUGGUCUAGAGUUAAACUGUUCAGGAUUGGAAUAUUCCAUGUUGAAAUGCUGCGAUAUAAAGGUUUCGGAUAAAUUAUUCCGUUUUGGGGCCGUAGCUCAGCUGGGAGAGCACCUGCUUUGCAAGCAGGG
rnacentral:misc_RNA from 1 species